UACGGAGGGUGCAAGCGUUAUCCGGAUUUACUGGGUUUAAAGGGUGUGUAGGCGGGCUUUUAAGGCAGUGGGGAAAUCUCCGGGCUCAACCUGGAAACUGCCAUUGAUACUAUUAGUCUUGAAUUUUGUUGAGGUAGGCGGAAUAAGUCAUGUAGCGGUGAAAUGCUUAGAUAUGACAUAGAACAUCUAUUGCGAAGGCAGCUCACUACGGGAAUAUUGACGCUGAGGCACGAAAGCGUGGGGAUCAAACAGG
rnacentral:rRNA from 1 species